rnacentral:tRNA from 1 species
UCUCGAUUGGUCUAGUGGUCAGGAUACCUGCUUGUCAUUGAUACAAUACGCAGGUGGCCGGGGUUCGAUUCCCCGAUCGAGAG